UACGAAGGGGCUAGCGUUGUUCGGAUUUACUGGGCGUAAAGCGCACGUAGGCGGAUCGUUAAGUGAGGGUGAAAUCCAGGCUCAACCCUGGAACUGCCUUUCAUACUGGCGAUCUCGAGUCCGGAAGAGGUGAGUGGAACUCCGAGUGUAGAGGUGAAAUUCGUAGAUAUUCGGAGGAACACCAGUGGCGAAGGCGGCUCACUGGUCCAUUACUGACGCUGAGGUGCGAA
rnacentral:rRNA from 1 species